rnacentral:lncRNA from 1 species
UUGUUGUUGUCAUAGUUCUCGUUGUUGUUGUUGUUGUUGUUGUUGUUGUUGUUGUGGUUGUUGUUGUUGUGGUUGUUGUUGUAGUUGUUAUGGUUGUUGUUGUUGUUGUUGUCGUAGUAACCACAGUAGUAAUAAAUUACUAGUGCCUACUACUAUGGGGGGGAAAGUAUGCGAAAAAGUCCAUCGGAGCGGUAGUAAAGAAUUACUACCGC